UCAAGCGCGAGAAGGGCGUUUGGUGGAUGCCUUGGCAGUAAGAGGCGAUGAAGGACGUGAUACUCUGCGAUAAGCUUUGGGAAGUCGAGAAUAGACGCUAUACCCAAAGAUCUCCGAAUGGGGCAACCCAACUGAUACUUUGUUAUUGUUACACUUUGUGUAAUCAAUAAUGGGGUAAAACAGUUAUUAAUUACCUGAAUACAUAGGGUUUUUAAAGCAAACCUGGGGAACUGAAACAUCUAAGUACCCAGAGGAAAGGAAAUCAAUAGAUACUCCCGUAGUAGUGGCGAGCGAACCGGGACCAGCCGAGCAAUGAAUGUGACUAGAACCAGUUGGAAAGCUGGGCGAUAUGGGUGACAGCCCCGUAUAGGAAGCAUGAUUUGACGUAUUAAGUAGGGCGGAACACGUGAAAUUCUGUCUGAACAUGGGGGGACCACCCUCUAAGGCUAAGUACUCCUUACUGACCGAUAGCGAACCAGUACCGUGAGGGAAAGGUGAAAAGCACCCCGACGAGGGGAGUGAAACAGUUUCUGAAACCGGACGCCUACAAACAGUUGGAGCCCCUUAUGGGGUGACAGCGUACCUUUUGUAUAAUGGGUCAACGACUUGGUCUUACUAGCAAGCUUAAGCCGAUAGGUGUAGGCGCAGCGAAAGCGAGUCUUAAUAGGGCGAAUGAGUUAGUAGGAUCAGACCCGAAACCGAGUGAUCUAGGCAUGAGCAGGUUGAAGGUAAGGUAACACUUACUGGAGGACCGAACCCACAUCUGUUGAAAAAGAUCGGGAUGACUUGUGCCUAGGGGUGAAAGGCCAAUCAAACUCGGAGAUAGCUGGUUCUCCGCGAAAUCUAUUUAGGUAGAGCGUCGCACGAAUACCUUGGGGGGUAGAGCACUGAAUGGGUAAUGGGGACUCACCGUCUUACUGAUCCUAAUCAAACUCCGAAUACCCAAGAGUAAUAUGCGGCAGACACACUGCGGAUGCUAACGUCCGUAGUGGAGAGGGAAACAACCCUGACCCUCAGCUAAGGCCCCUAAUUCAUGGCUAAGUGGGAAAGCAGGUGGGACGACCAAAACAACCAGGAAGUUGGCUUAGAAGCAGCCAUCUUUUAAAGAUAGCGUAACAGCUCACUGGUCUAAUUUAAGUUAUCCUGCGGCGAAGAUGUACCGGGGCUCAAGCCAUGAGCCGAAGCUAGGGAUGCAAUUUAUUGCAUGGUAGCGGAGCGUUCUGUGAUAUAGAACGCUGCGUCUUUAGUAUCUUAGGAUAUUGUGGACGCAAUGUUCUGACUGUGAAGCCGGCGCGUAAGCGAUCCGGUGGAGUGAUCAGAAGUGAGAAUGUUGACAUGAGUAGCGACAAACAGGGUGAGAGACCCUGUCGCCGAAAGUCCAAGGGUUCCUGCUUAAAGCUAAUCUGAGCAGGGUAAGCCGACCCCUAAGGCGAGGCCGAAAGGCGUAGUCGAUGGGAACCAGUUUAAUAUUACUGGGCCAGGAGAUGGUGACGGAUCGAAAGCGUAGUGACUCCUUAUCGGAUUGAAGUUGCUGCCGGACGGUUCCUGGAAAUAGCCCUCCAUUAGAUCGUACCCUAAACCAACACAGGUGGACUGGUAGAGAAUACCAAGGCGCUUGAGAGAACUACAUUGAAGGAACUCGGCAAAAUGCCUCCGUAAGUUCGCGAGAAGGAGGCCCCAUCAGAAGGCAACUUUUGGUGGGGGGCACAGACCAGGGGGUGGCGACUGUUUACUAAAAACACAGGGCUCUGCGAAGUCGUAAGACGACGUAUAGGGUCUGACGCCUGCCCGGUGCUGGAAGGUUAAGAGGAGGUGUGCAAGCACUGAAUUGAAGCCCCAGUAAACGGCGGCCGUAACUAUAACGGUCCUAAGGUAGCGAAAUUCCUUGUCGGGUAAGUUCCGACCUGCACGAAUGGCGUAACGACUUCCCCGCUGUCUCCAACAUAGACUCAGCGAAAUUGAAUUGCCUGUCAAGAUGCAGGCUUCCCGCGGUUAGACGGAAAGACCCCGUGCACCUUUACUACAGCUUCACACUGGCAUUAGGUCAGACGUGUGCAGGAUAGGUGGUAGGCUUUGAAACUCGGACGCCAGUUCGGGUGGAGCCUUCCUUGAGAUACCACCCCUGUCUGUCUUGAUGUCUAACCGCGGUCCGUUAUCCGGAUCCGGGACCCUGUGUGGCGGGUAGUUUGACUGGGGCGGUCGCCUCCUAAAG
rnacentral:rRNA from 1 species